rnacentral:rRNA from 1 species
UAGAGUUUGAUCCUGGCUCACAUUGAACGCUGGCGGCAUGCCUUACACAUGCAAGUCGAACGGCAGCACGGGUGCUUGCACCUGGUGGCGAGUGGCGAACNNNUGAGUAAUACAUCGGAACAUGUCCAGUAGUGGGGGAUAGCCCGGCGAAAGCCGGAUUAAUACCGCAUACGAUCUACGGAUGAAAGCGGGGGAUCUUCGGACCUCGCGCUAUUGGGGUGGCCGAUGGCGGAUUAGCUAGUUGGUGGGGUAAAGGCCCACCAAGGCGACGAUCCGUAGCUGGUCUGAGAGGACGACCAGCCACACUGGGACUGAGACACGGCCCAGACUCCUACGGGAGGCAGCAGUGGGGAAUUUUGGACAAUGGGCGAAAGCCUGAUCCAGCAAUGCCGCGUGUGUGAAGAAGGCCUUCGGGUUGUAAAGCACUUUUGUCCGGAAAGAAAUCCUGGUGGCUAAUAUCCGCCGGGGAUGACGGUACCGGAAGAAUAAGCACCGGCUAACUACGUGCCAGCAGCCGCGGUAAUACGUAGGGUGCGAGCGUUAAUCGGAAUUACUGGGCGUAAAGCGUGCGCAGGCGGUGAUGUAAGACCGAUGUGAAAUCCCCGGGCUUAACCUGGGAACUGCAUUGGUGACUGCAUCGCUGGAGUAUGGCAGAGGGGGGUAGAAUUCCACGUGUAGCAGUGAAAUGCGUAGAGAUGUGGAGGAAUACCGAUGGCGAAGGCAGCCCCCUGGGCCAAUACUGACGCUCAUGCACGAAAGCGUGGGG